rnacentral:piRNA from 1 species
UCGGUGUUAAACAGUGUCAGUAGUUGCUGU